rnacentral:rRNA from 1 species
GUCGAGCGCACCCUUCGGGGCGAGCGGCGGACGGGUUAGUAACGCGUGGGAACAUACCCUUUUCUAUGGAAUAGCCUUUGGAAACGAAGAGUAAUACCAUAUACGCCCUUCGGGGGAAAGAUUUAUCGGAGAAGGAUUGGCCCGCGUAAGAUUAGAUAGUUGGUGGGGUAAUGGCCUACCAAGUCUACGAUCUUUAGCUGGUUUUAGAGGAUGAUCAGCAACACUGGGACUGAGACACGGCCCAGACUCCUACGGGAGGCAGCAGUGGGGAAUCUUAGACAAUGGGCGCAAGCCUGAUCUAGCCAUGCCGCGUGUGUGAUGAAGGCCUUAGGGUCGUAAAGCACUUUCGCCAGAGAUGAUAAUGACAGUAUCUGGUAAAGAAACCCCGGCUAACUCCGUGCCAGCAGCCGCGGUAAUACGGAGGGGGUUAGCGUUGUUCGGAAUUACUGGGCGUAAAGCGUACGUAGGCGGAUCAGAAAGUAGGGGGUGAAAUCCCGAGGCUCAACCUCGGAACUGCCUCCUAAACUCCUGGUCUUGAGUUCGAGAGAGGUGAGUGGAAUUCCAAGUGUAGAGGUGAAAUUCGUAGAUAUUUGGAGGAACACCAGUGGCGAAGGCGGCUCACUG